rnacentral:lncRNA from 1 species
CCGAUGCUUUGUGUACUUUUUCCGACACCAUCACCUCACAAAUAUAUGAUGACGAUAGUGUCAAAGUGGACAGUGUUAUUACAUAGAAGAGAAAAAGAUUAGAACUAAUUUAUUUUCACACAAGGGAUGAUAUCAGGAGAGGGAGGGAGAGAGAGAGAGAGAGAGAGAGAGAGAGAGAGAGAGAGAGAGAGAGAGAGAGAGAGAGAAAUCAAACGCAAAAUGCAAGAAUGCUUUUAAUCAACUGAUAAAAUGUUAACUAAUUGAUUAAUCAACAAGGGCACUCAUGUUUUUUUUGUUGGAUUUAUCUAUUAUAAAUUGACCUUUAAGUGGUCUACUACAUGUAAUAGGAAUGUAAUAUUGGAGAAUAAUGUUGAUUGUGAUUUGAUCUCUUAAAGAUAUCAAUCCUAUAUAAGGUGUCUUAUAUUGGAAAUAGGAUUGAUGAAAUCCUUAAUUGAAUAUGAUUAUGAUACUUGACUUGGAGGUUAAGAAAGUAAAGUUUAGGUUUCCUUUAUGGAUGGAAACCCUAGCUUUUAGCCUAUAUAAAACACCGGUCCCUAUAAGCCCUAGAACACACAACAUAAUGCUUCCAAUAGAGCAGUUGUAUCCGGCUAGGAGUUUAAAGAAGAUCCUGGUGUUGUUGUGCCCCACUACUUUUGUGUUUGAUUUCCAUGGCCGCCGUUGGAAUCAGGUCAGUUACUCAUUCGUUUGUGUUUUAAUUGUAUAACCUCAUAAGGCUAACAAUUGGUAUCAGAGCCACUGGUUAUAUGAUUAAAACCUAUUAGGUUUGAAGUUUGGUUAUAUAAUAUCUUUCUUUUUGGACUGCGGUUUUGAUCUUAAAUCCUUAUUGCAUUUGGCAACAUCACCAUGUUGGACCUGCUUGAAAACUGCAUAGUACGUUUCCGCAUAUGAUUGCAUAUACUUGACAACACCACCAUGUUGUUUCAAUCGGUACAAUUGAUGAUUGUUAAUAAGUUAUAUAACCAUCCGGUUUUAGUCAAGAAUUUUAAUAAUUUUAUGGCACGAAUGCAAAUCGUGGUAUCAAUCCUUGUAUAUAAAUCAUGGUAUCAUAACUAUUUUACAAUGGAAACCAUGGGAGAUUUUUCUAUUUCAAAUAUAGUUUAGAGUGAUUCCUUUUGACCAGCCAUAUUAAGCCAUCGAAAAUAGCUUGCGUUAGGGACACAUCAAGUCACAAGUAUAAAGCCGCGAACCAGGCACUGAGAAGAAUAACAGUUUUGUUCUAUUUCAAUCUUCAUCCUAGUGUUUUGGUUGAAUUGAUUCACCAUGUGCCACUGAUGAUCUCAAUUUUUGUAAGCAUGCUAUAUUUGUUAUGACCUUACUGAAGAGCUCCCUCCAAUUAGCAAGCAGAACGAAGUCAUCUCCCCAAAGCAAAAUGGUUUGUUUCAUUGACUUUGAUUUCCAUGAUGGUUUAUGGUAUUUUGGCUGAUAUAUAUUUGGGUUGAUCCCUGAAGGCUUAAAUUGGUAAUAAGAUAAAGAUAUACUUGCAUGAGUGAUGUGCUAAUUAUUGUAGAGCAUGUACAUACAUUGAAUACGUUGUAUCGGUUAAGUAUGUCAUGAAUAUGGAUCCAAUUUUGGAUAUAUUUUGGCAAUACAUAUCUAAAUGGGCAUAUGCUUAUUAAAUAAGAAGUAAUAUUAUUUUCCAUGAAUUGUAUUCUAUAUGAAUUGCUACGGGUGAUACGUUAAUGUGACAAGAAACAAUUGCAUAAGUGCCAGCAAUUGUUUGAUCAAGCAAGUAUACAUAAUUUUCUAAAGCCAAUUAUGUAUCUACAGUUCGCAUAGCAUGUAUAUGUAUUUACAUUUGUUCUAACCUUGCAUUGGAGAAUUUCUUAAGAUCCCUCAGUCGAACAAGCCCAAUGAAGAGGUUCGUAUUACAUCAGUAUAUGAAAUUCUGUUAUGAUCUUUCCUUUUGGUCUUCAUGAUAAAUUAUAUAAGGAAUGGUUAUGUUGGAUUAAUGAAGAGUUAUAUUGUUCUUGUAAAAUCCAACCAUGUCGUGACGUCUUUCUGAUUAUAGGAGACAGAAUUAGUCAUAUCCUAUAAAUUAUCAAUACUAUUGGGAUAUGUUAUGCCUAUGAUUGUAAUAACAUAAAUUACAGUAGUGUUGCAGGGAAGCAUACGCUAAGUUUUAUACAUGUCAACUAUGUACAUGUCUGUUAAUGAAUUUGAUAAAAUUCCCAUAUAUGAAAGUAAGUCGUACAGAUUUUGGCAACAUUCGUUAAGCAAAUGGCGUGUACAGUGUUGCUUGUAUGGCUAAUUUGGUUCAAGCAUGAGAUUACAUAUUUUCAAUAUUGCCGUGGGUUUUGGACUAUAGUGAAUUGUAGUUUUGUUUCCACUAAUUUUCAAGAGAUGUGAACGAACUUUUAUAGCAUAAGAAAUAUGCAUGACUAAUCAAUCAGGUUUGUCUACAAUUUGCUUUCUUAUCUCAAUAGUCAUUUCAAUUAUACAUGACUAGUUAACUAUGAAAAAUUGAUGUAUAAUUUAUGGAUUGACUGAGAAUGACAGAAAGCAUCCAGUGACAAGAACAAGGGUAUUAUACAAAUGAAUAAGGUUUGUAGUAAUUAUGUGACAAUUCUCAUUUGUAUUUUUAUCUAUUCCUAUAUGAGAAUUUUGGUUGAUCAUGUGAUUAUAUAUAUGUUUACAAAGAAGUGGUAAACAUAUGAAGGCAUGAGGUAUGUAAUCCAUUCAAAGUAUGUGGCUUAAUUGAUAAGCAUGAAUUUUCAAACAUGUAUUAUUGUUUGUGGUUUUUCCUAUGCCUAAAGAAUUUAAACAGUGUUUUGAUUAGUAAUUUUUAUAUGUCAUAAGGGGAGAAGAAAAGAAACUUUUCAAGGCUAAUGUAGGGCAUAUAUUGGAAAUGUUUUCUAUGAAAGAAAGUAAUUUUGGUUGUUCCUUUUAUUUAAUUUGGUAUUUACAACGCUAAUGCAUGAUUUUAAUGCUAUGUUUAGUACUACGGAAAGAAAUAUAUAAAAAGGAAAGGAACAUUUUAACUUAAGAAAACAUUUGAGCAAUUUAGCUUUUGAGUAAUUGACUCCAUAAUGAUAAGUUUUGAUAUUCUUGUGGUGGAAUAAAACUUGUUCUAUAUGUGAUUAAUCUCUUUCAAGUAUGCUGUCAGGUUUUUUUGAGAUUAAUUUGAUGUCAAAGGGAGUCAUGAAGGAAUUAGUGCCAUUUGUUGGCAAGACUCAAAGCUCAUAAUUUUGUCACUUACAGUUAAUUAAUCCAUGUGACUUCUUGUAUUGUUUCAGGGCGGAGUUGACCAAUGCCUUUUCAACUAAGUAAGACGCAACGGCUUAGUUG